AACGCACCUUGCGCCCUUUGGUAUUCCGAAGGGCAUGCCUGUUUGAGUGUCAUUAAAUUCUCAACCUUGCAAGUUUUGCUUGCGAGGCUUGGAUGUGAGGGUUUUUGCUGGCUUCCAUUCAGUUGGAUGGUCUGCUCCCUUUAAAUUCAUUAGUGGGAUCCUUUGUGGAUGGUCACUUGGUGUGAUAAUUAUCUACGCCGCCUGACUCUGAAACAAGACUUGUGGGAACCUGCUUAUAACCGUCUCUUUUGGAGACAGCCUACAUUGACAAUUUGACCUCAAAUCAGGUAGGACUACCCGCUGAACUUAA
rnacentral:misc_RNA from 1 species